GCCAAAAACAUAGCCCAACCUACCCGCAUGAUAUAAUUUUUUUCUGCACACAAAACAAAACAUUUGUUUAGCCCUAGUAAAGGAGAUUAAAAAAGCAUUAGAGAGCAAUAGCAAUAGUACCGCAAGGGAAAUUUGAAAUAGUAAUGAAACAAGUUUAAGCAUUAAAAAGCAAAGAUUUCCCCUUGUACCUUUUGCAUCAUGGUUUAACUAGUUUAAUCAAGCAAAAAGAACUUUAGCUUGACACCCCGAAACUAAAUGAGCUACUUCGAGGCAGCUUAAUGAGCACACCCGUCUCUGUUGCAAAAGAGUGGGAUGACCUCAAAGUAGCGGUGAUAGACCUAACGAAUUUAGUGAUAGCUGGUUACUUAAGAAAAGGAUAUUAGUCCUAUUUAAAGCACUUUUUAUACUAUUAAAAUGUAACUAAACUUUAAUGGCAUUCAAAUGAGGUACAGCCCAUUUGAAACAAGGAUACAACCUCCACUAACGGGUAUUUACCUCCCACCUUUUGUAAGCAAGUAGGCUUAAGAGCAGCCACCUUUAACAAUAGCGUCAAAGCUUACUUAUUGACUGAGUUAAUACCACUAUUUUCCCCAUAACCCUUUAUCUCUAUUAAGUAAUUCUAUAUUCUAUAGAAGAUAUUAUGUUAAAACUAGUAAUAAGAAGAUGACCUUCUCUAUAAUGCAAGUGUACAUCAGAAAGGACAACCCACUGAUAAUUAAACGUUUAUGCAUCCCAAACAGCAACCAAGCUAGAAAAACCUAUUUAAUUUUCCCGUUAACCUUACACCAGAGCAUUUUAAGAAAGAUUAAAAGAAAAAGAAGGAACUCGGCAAACAUUAGCCCCGCCUGUUUACCAAAAACAUCGCCUCUUGCGUAACAUAAGAGGUCCAGCCUGCCCAGUGACCAAGUUCAACGGCCGCGGUAUCCUAACCGUGCGAAGGUAGCGUAAUCACUUGUUCUUUAAAUAAGGACUAGUAUGAAUGGCAUCACGAAGGCUACACUGUCUCCUUUUUCUAAUCAAUGAAACUGAUCUCCCCGUGAAGAAGCGGGGAUAAUUUUAUAAGACGAGAAGACCCUAUGGAGCUUCAAACUAAAUAGCAAAAGCUUAAUCUACUUCACUUUUCAGAACUUCAACACUUAUUCUAGCCCAAUGACUUUUAGUUUUAGGUUGGGGUGACCGCGGAGUAAAACAUAACCUCCACGUUGAAUAGAGCCUUCCCUGAGCCACAAACCACAAUUUUAAGCACCAAAAAACUGACAUCAAUUGACCCAAUAUUUUGAACAACGAACCAAGUUACCCUAGGGAUAACAGCGCAAUCCAUUUUAAGAGCCCCUAUCGACAAAUGGGUUUACGACCUCGAUGUUGGAUCAGGGUGUCCCAGUGGUGUAGCCGCUACUAAAGGUUCGUUUGUUCAACGAUUAAUAACCC
rnacentral:rRNA from 1 species